AUGUACAAAGGUAAACUCUGUGUCAAGCAGAGGACGGUCCCCAGAUUAACUUUUCUUUCUGGGAGACAUAUUUGCAAGGCCGGCGAACAGGGCAUGCUUCCUUCCCAUGCCGCCAUAUCUUGAGCAACUUCCCACUUCCCCAGCAGCCCCAAGCCCGCAUCUCUUUCUGUAACGAGGAUGUGUUGCAUAAAUUGUCAUCUGCUCUCUCUUCAAGUUACACAUUCUUCUGGGACUUUCAGAUACCCUGUAUAAUUAAUUGUUAAUUUGUCUGUGUCCAUUUAAAUCUAUAGUCCAGCCAAAGGAUCCCCAGGGUGAAGGGAAGCCAGCUUACCAUCACCGUCUUCAAGGUAUCACCCUGGGUUCAAGACAAACACCAACCAGUUCCACUGUUCGUGAAGAUUAAAUUCAAGCUCUUGAGAUGAUAGAACCUCUGCAGUAAAAAGACCAGUUUCUCUAGAUCUUCAUUCACUGAUGUCCACCUCAGCUGUGCUUCCUGAUAACUGUGAACAGUGCUGCAGGGAUCGAGGGUGUUAUUCCCAUUAUUUUGGAAAAGAGAUGUACCACACUGCUGUAUGCUCCAGAAUCUGCCCAGGCGAUGCAUGGUGCCACCACCCACACCCAGAGUCAGCCUUCUCUCCUCCACACUAAGUCUUUCUGGAAACUCUCGCAGAUACAGCCAAAGGCGACAUGAAAGAAAGCACAGAGCAAACUGGUGAAGGAACGUGGGCCUAAAGGGUCAGAGAUAAGGAAAGCAGACUUGAAGCAAAGCAAGACCAGCAUUUCCUGCUCCACUUUUGGGUCUACAGCUUAGAUCUGGCAUGAGGGAAAAACUCUCCAGUUCUCAGGGGAAAAAAAUGGAUCCUGGGAGUAAACAGGAGCAUCAACUUCAAGCUGAAUUCCAGGAAAAAAAAAAACUACAAAAACCAGAUCAAUCCUUACCAACCACACCCUUAGCAAACACCUUGUUUGGUGGGAAGGAAGACUAGGAGAAACUCUCCAAAGUUGUGUUUGGUGGCUGUGUGGUUCGUUGCUAAGCCUCUGAGAUCUGUCUUGUUUCAGAUCUGUGUUGUUCAUGCAGGAGAGUGGACGACUUGGAAACCCGCUGUGAUGGUUAAUUUCAACUCUGAAAUCAUCUAGGGGACAAGCCAAUGGGCCUGUUUCCUGGAGAUUUUCUAGACAGGAUUUCCUAAUUGGGGUAGCAAGAUCCACCCUGAUUAUGCACAGCACCAUGCUAUGGUUGGGACCCCAGUCUAGAACUGAGUGCUAGCUCUCAUUGCUCUGCACUUCCUGACUGAAGAUGCAAAAGGGCUAGACGCCUCAUGCUACCUCAGUACCUUCUUCACCAUGGUGAACAAGACUUUCAAGCCAUGAGCCUGCAUCAGCCCUUUCUGUUCUGAAGCUGUUUUCAUCACAGCAACGACCAAAAUACCUAAUAUGCUUGCCUCCACAUGGGAAGACUUCCUGGAAAGUGUGCACUGAGAUUCCGACCUGAUGGGUCGGUAUAUGACCCCUGUGGAGGUCAAAGGCAGAGGAGAAUUUGGGCUGACUGGGGACAGAGAAGGCCAAGGGCACUGGAGGGCUGUGGAGGUUGGGAACCAAGGUGACUAUGAAAGAGGGAUGCGCUGAGAGGGAACCACAUGCUGUGGGAAGUGUCUAGAGCAAGCUGGGAAGAGAGGAAGACAAUCAUGGUGAGGAAAUUACCUCUUGAAAAUCAUGACACCUGGACCACCUCCCCAGCUGUGGUGUGAGAAUAGAUGGAGACCCCUGAGCAGGCUGGAUUUGGGGAAAGAGUUGAAAGCCCACUCUGAGGUGAAAAAGAGUGGAUUAAGUUGGAUCGGAGAAGAAGAAUAUAGUAUCUCAUGAAUCAUUUGCAGGCAGCAGGGACCAACCUCACCCGGGGUUUUGUGGUUUGAGGGAGGGGGGCGCCUUGGAAGUUCCCAGUUUAAGCAAUUGUGUGCCCAGGAUAUUAAUGCUCAUUACUUAAAUAAAGAC